AUAUAAGGACCAAUUCUCCUUUACAUUGAAAGCCUCUUCUUCAAAGGCUCAAACUCAUAGCCAUUCAAUUUCCUUUCAGCCAUGAGAGAAAAGAGAAGAAUUAUAUUCAAGAUUUGGUUAUAAUUAAUCCAUUGCAACUGGAGGAGGCAUCCAAAGGGAUCGCAUUGAUCCCAAAUCUAAUUAAGUCCCUAGCUACUUAAUUAACAACUUAAUUUCCUUAAUAUCUCAUAAUAUUUGGGAUCAUGCUAUCCCUUUGGAUUCAUCCUU
rnacentral:lncRNA from 1 species